UGGCCGCAGCUAUCCUGACUGUGCUAAGGUAGCAUAAUAAUUUGUCUUUUAAUUGAAGACUUGUAUAAAUGAGGUGACGAAGAGAAAACUGUCUCCUUAGGAUGCUUAAACUUACCUUUAAGGUUAAAAGGCCUUAACCUUUCAAAGGGACGACAAGACCCUAAAAACUUUAUCCCUUGCAAAUUUUCUAAGAAAGAUAAACAAAGGGGUUUUACUGGGGCGGUAAAUUGCAACAAAAUUAACUAAAACACGUUGGGUGAAAUAAAAGUACAGGCGUACAAAACAAGAAUUAGUUACUUUAGGGAUAACAGCGCAAUUUCUUCAGAGAGUUCUUAUCGGCGAAGAAGAUUACGACCUCGAUGUUGAAUUGAAAAUCCUUUUGUAGAGCAAAAGCACAAAAAGGAAGUCUGUUCGACUUUUAAAUUUUCACAUGAUCUGAGUUC
rnacentral:rRNA from 1 species